rnacentral:rRNA from 1 species
UGACCGUGCGAAGGUAGCAUAAUCAUUAGUCUUUUAAUUGGAGGCUUGUAUGAAUGGUUGGACGAGAAGUAAUCUGUCUCUAUUAAAAAAAUUGAAUUUAACUUUUGAGUGAGAAGGCUUAAAUAAUCUAGAGGGACGAUAAGACCCUAUAAAGUUUAACAUUAUAAUAAUUAAAAGUUGAUUGGGUUAGAGAACUUAUUAUUGUAAAUAAUGUUUUGUUGGGGCGACAAGAAUAUAAAUAAUUUAACUGUUCUUUUUUGUAUCAAAGAUAUUUGACUUAAUGAUCUUUUUAAGGGUGUUAGAGUAAAUUACUUUAGGGAUAACAGCGUAAUUUUUUUUGAGAGUUCCUAUCGACAAAAGAGUUUGCGACCUCGAUGUUGAAUUAAAGAUUCUUUAUAAUGCAGAAGUUAUAUAAGAAGGUCUGUUCGACCUUUAAACCUUUACAUGAUUUGAGUUCAGACCGGUGUGAGCCAGGUUGGUUUCUAUCUA